CACCCCGGCCCCGGUGUCUCGGCCCCGCUGCCGCAGCAGCCCCGGCGCUGCCGCCGCGCCGUGCGGAGGCCGGGCCGGCAGCACGUACCGCCCUGCGGGCCGCGGCUUGUGCAGGCUGCGCUGCCGCCCCUGUGUCUCCCGUGUCCGUGAGUGCAGGGGCUCCGGAGCAGGGCAAGGGAGCUGGCGAAAGGUCUGGUGUGCAGGCCCAUGAAGGCGAUGGGGUUAUUUGGCCUGGAGAAAAGGAGGCUCGGAGGGACCUCAUCUCUCCUAUAACUCCCUGAAAGGAGGGUGUAGCCAGGUGGGGGUUGCUCUCUUCUCCCAGGUAACAACUGACAGGAUAAGAGGGCAUAGCCUCAAGCUGCACCAAGAGUGAUUUAGGUUGGACUUGAGGAAGGAUUUCUUCACAGGAGCGGUGAUUUAAGUGUUGUAAUGGACUUCCCAGGGACGUGGUGGAGUCGCCAUCCCUGGAGGUGUUUAAGAAACGACUGCACGUGGCACUGGGUGCUACGAUCUGGUUGACACGGUGGUGUUUGGUCAUGGGUUGGACUUAAUGAUCUCAGAGGUCUUUUCCAACCUGGCAUGAGAGGAAAGGGCAGAGAUCAGUCACAGCUUGGAGGGACGCUCACUGUGGCUUGUGAUAGCUCCUGGUCAAAGCUCUUCAGCCACAGUGAGGCAGGGGUCAGCCUGUGAGAACCACCCUGCUCUGCAGAGCGUCUGUCACAUCUCGCCAUGCUUUCUGUUCUGCAGCACAUGGCUUCCUCUUUCGGCUGGGGCAGAGCCUCAGUGUUCGUGUCGGGGGCUGCCAGGGCUGGUGCGUGUUCAGACAGUGUUCUGUGCCGGCAGCAUAUGGUAAUGAGAUGGAGGGUUGACCUUGAGCCUGCAGAUGCCAUGAAGGAUGACCUGAACUGCCCUGGAAUAUCCUCUGGUGACCUUUGAGACAGGGGAUGGUCUUGUGCAGAGUAGAAGUGGUAUUGGGAAAGGGUGACAUAUGCCUGUGGUAACUUACACUUCUCAGGAUGAAUGCCAAAGCAACAAAGCUCCUAAGUAUAGUGAGUGAUGAGUAGUGAUCUGCAAGUAGUGCUGAUGGGGGAGUACUUGCUCAAGCUCUUAAUUGCACUCCUUUAAUCCCAUUUAUUGCCAUUUUAAUAUUUUUAAAUCUGUUUGUUAGUUAACCAGUUCAUUUCUUUGUUUAGUUUCUGAACAUUUACUCAAGAAGGAAGUAAUUGAGGGAUCAAUAGCCAUAAAAUUCCUUCAAGAAUUUGUGAAUAGAUAAUAUUUUAUUUGUGAAAAGUACUAAAAAGACUAGAGUUAUUUGUAUAUUUAAUAGUUAUUUGUAUAUUUAAUAGUUAUUUGUAUAUAAAAGACUAGCUGGGGUUGUUUAGCCUGGAGAAAAGGAGACUCAGGGAUGACCUUAUCACUCUAAACAACUCCCUGAAAGGUGACUGUAGUCAGGUGGGGGUUGGUCUCUUUCUCCAAGCAGCAACUGACUGAACUAGAGGACAGAGUCUCAAGCUGUGUCAAGGGAAAUAUACAUUGAAUAUUAGGAAAAAAAUUUUCACAGAAAGAGUGAUAAAGUACUGGAAUGGCCUGCCUGGGGAGGUGUUGCAGUGACCAUCCCUGGAUGUGUUUAAAAAAAGACUGGAUGUGGCACUCGGUGCCAUGGUUUAGUUGAGGUAUUUGGGCAUGGGUUGGACUCCGUGAUCUUGAAGGUCUCUUCCAACCUUGUGAUUCUGUGCAUUCUAUUAAGUAUCAAACAGAGUAGUGUGAAUGUAAACAAGUUAACAAUGAAGUGAGUAAAGUAGAACAAGCACCCGAAGAAGGUAGCUCAGCACUUUUCAGCUCUUUGUUGGGACGAGUAACCUUAAGAAGAAAAAGAAAUUUAGCAGUGUAAAGUGGUAGCAAAUGCAUCAUUGCUAAAAAUAUUUCAUCACUUUAAAUGUGCUGUGGAAUGCAACUGAGUUUUAAGUCAGUGAUAUUUGUGAAUACACUCUGUAUAUAUGUAAAUAGUAGGAGUAUUCACGGUUACAAUCAAUGAUGGUAGGAGUUUUGGUAGAAAGAUUUAAGUCUCAAAGCAUUAGAGAAUCUUGUAGAUACUGUUAGGGAUAUUUGCCCUCCUGACACAUCACACUCUUUGUAGUGCUUCCAAUUUUUUCUGUGAAUUUGAAUCAGAAGCUGAUUUUAUUGAGAAUAUAAAGAGUUUAUAUAGGGUUUACUUGUAUGACACAUACAGAAUUCUAUUUUUGGUAACAAUAUCCCAUUGGUAACACAUUCUUCAUUGCAUCAGUUUCCAGGUAAUAAUUACAAAGUUUCGCAACAUGUCUCUUGAUCACUUGUACCCCAGGGAGCAGUUACCUGUGUCUGUCUCUCCCAUGGUUUCUGCUUUAUUAGGCCUAAGAUACCAGGCUCCUAUAUAAAUUCCAUUGUACACUCUGUCUUACUCUCCAUAUUUGGGACCUUGAUGUUUAAAAUACUGCAUUUUUUGCUGUUUUAUUUUGUCGGUGUUUUUAAAAUGAAUUUUUAAAAUGUUUGUGUCCUCUUGCAGACCCUAGCAUUUUUUUUAGGAUACUGAAGUUACAAAGGAUGAUGUGAAUUUUUUGUGCCAUAUGUGUUAUUGCUAUUUCUGUGAAGCUGCUGUAAUUACAGUUCUUGUUGUAAGUGGUGUUGAGAUUUCAUAAAUAAAUAAACAAAAUGUCUCUUAAAAGGCUGGAAGCUGUUAACAGUCAACCAAACAGCAAAUUGUUGUGUAUGCAGUAAUUUGGAUGUGAUGUCGCUGCCAGGCCAGGGUUGAAAUCCCAAACAGGAUUUACUGUUUAACCUGGUACCUUUUAAAUGUAAGGAAGCAACUGUUGCCUGAUGUUGUGCUGUUACAUGUGAAGAAGCCAUCCUUCUUAGCUUUUCAGCUCAGUCUUUGCAAAGUGAACGUGGCUUGCUGGUUCACUGGGGGCUAUGGAGGAAUCGCUAAAGCUGUCAAGUGGUAAAGCUUUAGAGAAAUCUCAAAUUGAAAGAGACUGCAGGACAAAAGGGUGAUGGGAAUGUCUAGGAAGGGUUUGGGGUUGCACAGCGUAAUUAACGAGGGAAACAAUUUAUAGUAGCGAGUGUUGUAGAAGGCUGACUGUCAGAAUCCUUUUUAAUGCAGGUUUCAUGUUUCCUUGUUGCUGUUGAGUCAGGGAUGAGAACAAAAGACUCCAGUCUUCAGAAGGUGAACAGAAGGCGUUUAAUAGAAAUUAGCGUGUCUUUUAUAACCUGAGACUUGAUUUGGCCUAAAGCAAAAACCUCUCACACUAUUGGAGAACUAAGAAUAGCACACUUUGGAAAAUCGUAUCCAUAAACAACCUGUGUAGAAAGAGAGAUAAUUGUUUUAAUUCUUUCCUCUGAGCUUUCUCACAGCUUCCCAGGAAAAUCCUGGGAGAGCUAUGUCUCUCUCUGUUCAGAGAAUAUGUGAUUACCACAUUUCCUUCUAAAAGACUUAAAAAGUAUAAAAUUUUUGUAGACUGUAGAUUUUUGUAGACUUGCUAUGAAUUAGUUUAAAUGGACUAUGAGCUGGAUAAAAUGGAGUUCUGUGUAACUCAGUUCACAUUUAUUUAGUUAUUUUAAUCUGUAUGUAAUAUUAAUAUUUUUAAAAGGUUGACAGAAUACACAAUAGUGAGUUGCUUUAAGGGAUUACAGGGAACAAACACUAAAUUUUAUGUAAACGAAAGAGUUGGAAAAAGAAUAACCAUUGCCAAUCAGAUAGUACAGGCAAAGGAAGGUCUCUUGUGUGCUUUGCUGCUCAGUGUACAUAAAAUAACUUACGCUUUGUCAUUUGUAUAGGCCAAAAUAUGUACUGGCUACAUUUGCUGUUUUCUGUAGCAUUGCCUGUCCAGGUUCACUUCCUCUACUUUCCUUAUGUGAAAUGUUUGGUCAAUUCCAGUUCCUAAUCAAACUUGUAUUUAAAGUCUAUAAGAUCUCAGUAGUACAUGCAAGUGUACUUGUAUGUAUAUCUGCUGAGUAAAACACAGUCACUUGGGAAAAUGCAUUGCACUUCAGAAUCCUGUAAUGUUCAUCAUCAUUGUACAGGAUGUAAAAGAUUGUGGUAAAAAUCGAUAAUUUGAAAGAAGGCUACGAAUUUGAUUGUGUGUUUGUAAGUGGUUCUUUUUUCCACGUUUGUCAUUGUCAAAAGACUAAAGAUCUGGUUGAUGAUGGAUGUAAAUGCUUUCUGGCAUGUUGCCUUUUCCAGUUUUACCUGUGUCAUUAUCUUUGUUGAGGUUCAGUUGUUGACAGCUGUGAGUGUGUUUCUGACAAUAUUUUUUUUCACUGGCAAAACCUAUUUUUAGAGAGACUUCAUUCUUUCUUUUUUCUCAUGGCAUUCCUAUAAUUGUUCAUUGCCUCCGUAGUUGUACUUAGGGGACUGCAUUGUGGUGACUGAAAUGAUUCCAGGGAUUUGAUUUAUGGUGAGCCUUGUGUACGGUUGUUGCGUCAGCACAACUCAGAAGGCAACAAAUGGGGAUGGGAAUUUUCAAAGCCAGUUGUCUGAAAGUUUGCAGAGUUAUGCCUGGGUUAUUUCAAAUUAUUCUAACAUUUAGAAAGAAAAGGUUCAUGGUAAAAAAAAAUAGUGUAUUUUAUUAGACAUGCUGAUGUAGCUGGAACAAAGGGGUAAAAUGUCAGGUCAACUUCUGUAGGGCUUCACUUUUGGUAUAUAACUGGAUGUCAGUAAAUAGUUUCUGAGUGUUAAUAUUUGCCUGAUGUUUGAAAUUUAAUUUUUUCUGUUAAACAACUGUUACAGGCCUGAUAUGUGUUGAUGUGUUCUACAAGUUGUGCCCAGCUUAGUGUGUAAGAUUGAAGUCGUAGCAGCUUGGCAUACUCAGGGACUCAGGAUAGCUGUAGGCAAUGCCAUAGAUAAUUUUAAAGCUGUUUUGUCACUUUUGGAUAGCUUUUCAGUAAAUGUGAAAUUUCAAAAACAUUUAUGUUGAUUUUCAGUUGCAGAUUCUUUUUGACUGAAACUCAUUUUUGAAAUUAUACUGAUGUACUUGUUAUCUAAGCUCAGAUUAGAAUGGAUAGUCUGGUUUUUCUCCACUGAGCAAAAUGUAGUUCAGAAACCUUUGUACAGUUUGAAAACACUCUGAGCUAAUUUUCCACAAAAGUAGCACAAAGUGCUACUUUCCACAAAAGCUCACAAAAGUGAGCUUUCAUGCUCACGGGGAAUUUCAGCCAUGCAGACAUCAGCUAGGAGGGCAAUCUGGCAUUGUGCGUGCACUCUUGGUGCUUCCUAGGCUGUGCUGGUAAAAAUUUUGUAACUCAGAUGCCAGAGUCAGAGUUAACUCUUCACUUUGUCUGCUGCUUUCAAGUAGGGAAGAGCUGUGACCAGCUUGGUCACAGGGAGCAACCUGGAUCUCAGUGACUGGAGCAUGAAUGAGUUGCACGUCUGGAUGAAGGCUGGGAAGUGAAGAGGCUGUGGGAUUGCAGUGACAUCUGGUUGAAUACAGCAGGAGAAGAGAUUGGCUUGAGUGGCUGUGGAACAUCCGUCCUUGAAGGUUUUUCAAAUUCAGUCAGAGCCACAGCUCAUCAGAUCUCAUCUCUAAACUGAUGUUGAGGUUGAAGAUGACCACUGUUUCUGGAGUGUUUUGAUGUUUGAUAAAAUGAGCAGCUUAAUACCUCUCUCACAUGGUAAAUGUAUUAUGAAGAGAUAUUCUGGAAUUUAUCAAGUCUGUGUAAGAUCAUCGUGGUAGUAAACAUUAAAAUUGACUUUUCACCACAUAAGACUUCUGUAAUUGAGCAUUAGCAGACUCCCUACUUUCAGGGUAUUGGCCCAAACAAAUAAUAGCUCUUGCUAAGUAAAGAUUGUAUGCUUCCUGCAUGGCUGGAUGAUAGAAUCAUAGAACAUGCUGAGUUGGAAGGGACCCUCUAGGUUCAUUGGGUCCAACUCCUAGCUCUGUGCAGGACAUCCCAUGUCACACCAUGUGCCUGAAGGGCAUUGUCCAAAAGCUUCUUGAGCUUUGUCAACCUUGGUGCUAUGGCCACUUCCCUGGCAAGCCUGUUCCAGGACUCAAACACCCUCUGGGUGAAAAGCCUUUUCCUAAUAUUCAGCCUAAAUCUCCCCGACACAGCUUCAAGCUAUUUCCCCAGGUCUUAUCACUGGUCACCAGAGAGCAGAGAUCAAUGUCAGUUAAGAUUGUGCGUUCAUGUUGUUGAUCUUCUACUAAUGC